GACGAACGCUGGCGGCGUGCUUAACACAUGCAAGUCGAACGGUAAGGCCCUUCGGGGUACACGAGUGGCGAACGGGUGAGUAACACGUGGGUGAUCUGCCCUGCACUUCGGGAUAAGCCUGGGAAACUGGGUCUAAUACCGGAUAGGACCACUGCCUGCAUGGGGGGUGGUGGAAAGCUUUUGCGGUGUGGGAUGGGCCCGCGGCCUAUCAGCUUGUUGGUGGGGUGAUGGCCUACCAAGGCGACGACGGGUAGCCGGCCUGAGAGGGUGACCGGCCACACUGGGACUGAGAUACGGCCCAGACUCCUACGGGAGGCAGCAGUGGGGAAUAUUGCACAAUGGGCGCAAGCCUGGUGCAGCGACGCCGCGUGAGGGAUGACGGCCUUCGGGUUGUAAACCUCUUUCAGCACCGACGAAGCGCAAGUGACGGUAGGUGCAGAAGAAGGACCGGCCAACUACGUGCCAGCCGCCGCCGUAAUAC
rnacentral:rRNA from 1 species